rnacentral:tRNA from 1 species
GCACUGGUGAUGUAAUGGAAACAUCCCCGCCUUCUAAGCGGCUCAUACAGGUUCGAGUCCUGUCCGGUGUA